rnacentral:rRNA from 1 species
CUAAGCCAUGCGAGUCAUUGUAGCAUACAAGGCGGACGGCUCAGUAACACGUAGUCAACCUAACUCGUGGACGUGGAUAACCUCGGGAAACUGAGAAUAAACCACGAUAGAUCAUAGUGCCUGGAAUGGCUUAUGGUCCAAACAGUUUACUGCCAUGGGAUGGGACUGCGGCCUAUCAGCUUGUUGGUGAGGUAAUGGCCCACCAAGGCGAUUACAGGUACGGGCUCUGAGAGGAGAAGCCCGGAGAUGGGUACUGAGACACGGACCCAGGCCCUAUGGGGCGCAGCAGGCGAGAAACCUUAGCAAUGUGCGAAAGCACGACUGGGUCAGUCCGAGUGAUUCCUGAUAAAGGAGUCUUUUGCUUGUCCUAAAAGCACAGGUGAAUAAGGGGUGGGGCAAGUCUGGUUGUCAGCCCGCCGCGGUAAUACCCAGCACCUUCGAAGUGGUCAGGGACGUUUAUUGGGCCUAAAGCAUCCCGUAGCCGGCUUCUGGCAAGUCUUCGGUUAAAUCCCACCUGCCUCAAAAGGAUGGGCUGGCUGGGAAUACCACAGAGGCUAGGAAGUGGGAAAAGCCAGACGGUAUUUCGUGGGGAAGGGGUAAAUCCUUCUGAUCCCAUUGAGGACCACCAUGGCGAAGCGGUCUGCCAAACACGUCCAACGUGAGGAUGAAACUGGGGACAAACCGAUAAAUACCGGUAGUCCACUUGAUCGAGCAAAUCUGGUAGAUGG